rnacentral:rRNA from 1 species
CCUACGGGAGGCAGCAGUGAGGAAUAUUGGUCAAUGGGCGAGAGCCUGAACCAGCCAAGUCGCGUGAGGGAGUACUGCCCUAUGGGUUGUAAACCUCUUUUGUCGGGGAGCAAAAGCCGGACGUGUCCGGCUGUUAGAUUACCCGAAGAAAAAGCAUCGGCUAACUCCGUGCCAGCAGCCGCGGUAAUACGGAGGAUGCGAGCGUUAUCCGGAUUUAUUGGGUUUAAAGGGUGCGCAGGCGGAUUUUUAAGUCAGCGGUCAAAUCGUGGGGCUCAACCCCAUCCAGCCGUUGAAACUGGGGAUCUAGAGUGUGCGAGAGGUAGGCGGAAUGCGUGGUGUAGCGGUGAAAUGCAUAGAUAUCACGCAGAACCCCGAUUGCGAAGGCAGCAUACCGGUGCACAACUGACGCUCAGGCACGAAAGCGUGGGUAUCGAACAGGAUUAGAUACCCCGGUAGUC